CCCAGUGUAGCAUAGUGGUAUGGAUCAGGGCUCCUAACCCAGAGGUUGCUGGUUCAGUUCCCUGCUGAGG